UUACAGUUCAAAUUCAAAGUCGGCGCGGAGUCCCCCCCCCCCCUUCAUCCCUCGCCCCCCGCCCCCAACACUUUGUAAAAUACUUUACCUUAUACACUUUACCUAUACACUUUACCUAUACAAGGCAUUGUUUUUAGCAUGGGGAUGGUUACCAGCGUUGUUUGGCCUUUGAGGCAAUGGAGGUAGCUUGCAACCUUUCCCCCUCCCCCCCCCCCCCCCCCAAAUGUGCCUGAAAACUGCCUAGAGGUUAUCUGCCCUGUGGAGGGAGUCUGAGCACAAAAAUAGGAGUGUUUGCAAAGGGCUUUCUUUAGAGGACCUCUUUUAAGCCUCGCAACAACUUCUGGUUGCUCCAGAUCCGUGAUCCUAUAAAUUAGAUGCAGCUCAUUGUCCUUUCAUGUUGAAAUCAUUUUGGCUGUUGGUUCUGACCUCCAACUUGAUUGUUAUGGCUAUCACAAUCGUGGCCUUGGCAAUUGAUCUUUAGAGCAGAUAUGGUUCUUAGAUGUGAUCCUGGUCUUGAAGACAAUGAGCCCAUCUGCCAAGGUGAUAACUAGUCAAUCCAAUAAUAUAUCAGAUAACCAGUGUGCUACUGGGGCAGUAGAAAGAGCAUUCCAUUUUGAGCCAUGAAGCUUGACUUUGAACCCUUGCUCUGCUGCCUAUUAAUUGUGCAACCCUGAGUAAGUCACUUCUCUUCUAAAGACACCAUGCAACUCUCUAAAUCUAUAAUUUACAGAAGAGUUCCUGAUCUGUAGCAGCUGAGGGAGUUGUACACGGGGAGUUUCCAGACUGAUAAAAUCUCCCUAAAACAAAAUAAAACUGAUUUCAAUAAUAAACUGCA
rnacentral:lncRNA from 1 species